rnacentral:rRNA from 1 species
GAUGAACGCUGGCGGCGUGCCUUAUACAUGCAAGUCGAGUGGGUUUAGACCCACGGCAAACGGGUGAGUAACACGUAGGUACUUUCCUUGUCACAGGAAUAACCCUCCGAAAGGAGGGCUAAUACCUGAUGUGAUCGCAAGAUUAAAGGGUAUCCGCAAGGAUUACCGGACAAGAAGAGGCCUGCGGCCUAUCAGCUAGUUGGCGGGGUAAAUGCCCACCAAGGCUAUGACGGGUAGCUGGUCUUAUGAGGAUGAUCAGUCACAUGGGCACUGAGACACGGGCCCAACUCCUUCGGGAGGGAGCAGUAGGGAAUUUUGCGCAAUGGGCGAAAGCCUGACGCAGCGACGCCGCGUGCGGGAUGAAGGCCUUCGGGUCGUAAACCGCUUUUAUAAGGGACGAACUUUGACGGUACCUGAUGAAUAAGAGGUUGCUAACUCUGUG